AAGGUGCUCGCUUGAACGCGAGUGAAACGGGAACAAGGUCUGAUCGCAAGCUCAGGAAGCCUUGGCUGCCCCCGCAACGGUAAACAGGUCAACACACUCAUGCGAGCGCAUCGGCGCUCGCAGCCACUGGACAUGAUCCGGCCCCUCGCCUCGCGACGGUCUGCAUCUUUCGGGAAGGCGAGUCGUGAAUUCAGCGAUGAAUUGCCUGUGAGCCCGGAGACCGGCCUGCCGA
rnacentral:ncRNA from 1 species